rnacentral:ribozyme from 1 species
GGCAGAGAGACCCAAAAGAGGAAAAAGAGGAAAUCCCACAACAUCCUCAUGCUGGGGGAAAACAAUGUAUUGAAAGAUUUGUAUGCUGUUGUUGUUGUUGUUGUUGUUCCUUUGUAAUUUUCAGUUUCCUUUUAUUGAUUUUUUUAU